GAAUAAAAAUCGCUUAAUCCAUUACGGAGCGGAGGACCCAUUAUUUACGCACAUAUUGUGCUCCGGGGUGAAUCCUUAAAAAGGUAGGGUUACUCUUAAAACCCGAACCCGACAGCUAACUUCGCAAGCGUUUUGAGGGGGAAGA
rnacentral:sRNA from 3 species